rnacentral:rRNA from 1 species
UACGGAGGGGGCGAGCGUUAUUCGGAAUUAUUGGGCGUAAAGGGCGCGUAGGCGGCUUGAUGUGUCAAAGGUGAAAUCCCUCGGCUCAACUGAGGAACUGCCUUUGAUACUGAGAAGCUUGAGUCCGGGAGAGGUGAGUGGAACUGCGAGUGUAGAGGUGAAAUUCGUAGAUAUCGAGAGGAACACCGGUGGCGAAGGCGGCCUUCUGGACAGUGACUGACGCUGAGACGCGAAAGCGUGGGGAGCAAACAGG